ensembl:lncRNA
CAACACCAGGCUCGCUUCUUCAGCUCAUAUAAGGUAAAAGGCAGCGAGGCCUCGGUGGCCAGAGAGCCACGGGCAAGGGGCUGAGCAGAGGGGGGUCCAGUGCAAGUUGCUUAAAAAUGCCCCUGUAGCAUCAAGGGGUGCCAGACCCAAGUGAACUUAGUUGAGAAGCAGUAACACCCACAACCACACCCCAAACAGACUGGGCCUCCACCUCCGAAGAGUCAUCCCUGGACCAGACACCAGUCAAGGAGAGAGUGAUGGCUGGUAGGAUUCCCCCUACACUGGAGAAGAGCCCCAGAAAGGAAUCUUCCUGAGAAGGCGAGAAGGGACAGGAAUGGCUGCCCGGCUCCCAGAACUGAGCUUUCCAACAGUCAGAAGGCAGAGAUCCCCCAGCCUGGAGACAUUUUCUGAAGACACGGGGAAAGGAGAAAAGGCGGGCUACUCCCUGGCAAGCUGCUAAGAGCCAGUACCAAGAACGCCAGGCGCCGACCUGAACCCCCUUCCUGAAGUAAGCAGGCCUCAGGAAGAAGUCAGAGGCAAAACAACCAGGCUUUCUUCUCCUUACACGGGACCCCAGGUCAACAGGCACUGUGGCUCAUGCCUAUAAUCCCAGAAUUCCAGAAGUAGAAACGGGACCUGAGAAAAGGCUGCCUACCCUGUUCAGAAAACCCUGAGAGUACACAUACAUCAUCCAGCAUCAAGGCCACCACAGUCACCAUGAAGCAGAGGUCUUCUAGGGACCCUGGGAUCUUAGCAAGAGCUGGGUGAGUGGGUGGUUUGGGGUGGGAGUGCUCUGCUCACACAAGCCAUGGCCACAGGAGAAAAGGAAUCAUUCACGUGGUUACUCAGUCGCCACUGUCUGUGCGCAUGUGCAAAGUCAUCGGCAGGUUCUAGGGCCCCCAAAUUAUAAUAUAUGGACCCUGGCCUCAGGGAAAUGGAGAGGUAAGCUAGGGUGACCCAGAGAUGAACCACUCCAAAGCCACAGAGGGUGAUGUGGGUUGCGAUUGAUCUACUUAAGCAGUGUUCAACAUGGCCUUGAUUCGGGGGCAGAGGAAAGCCAGCAGACUCCCUUUCCUGAAGGGAAAGUGAAGGAAAGUGCUCCCAGAUGAAAACAGUACCCCAAGAGCUAGGAAGAAACAGAGUUCAAAGGUUGGGAGCGCCCAUGAAGGAGAUGUCCUUGGAUCUAAAGAAGUAAGGGGUGGUUUCUCAGUAGCUGUCAUUUGUCCAGACUGCAUACAGAGACGGAUGGGGCAAAUACGGGAACCACAAGUUGAGCAGGCACAGAGAGGCUAUCUGCAAGGCCCUGGGUUCCAUCUUUAGCACUGAAAAAAAAAAUUAACUGCACACUUCAGAUGGGUAGGGUCCAUCUCAAGAAAGCUAACUUUAAAAGACAAAGGACACGAAGAUGGACGUUUCCUUCCCAGAGGUCUCCAGGGCGUGUCCAGACCAGUAUAGGAGGCAGACCACUGCGCAUGCUCAUUCUCCUGCCCAGGAAGAAAGCCGUGGCCUGAGCGCGGAGCGCCUGUCUCCCAGCCUGAGGUGCAGUGCUGCAUCUCUGGUCAGUUGGGAGUCUGAGAUGAAGCACUGUAGCUCAGGAAGGGAGAAGAUGUUCUGCAGCCGUCGCCGGGACAUGGUAAGUGUUGGUGAGGGGUAGCGGGCCCGAUCGGUUGUCCCUAGAGUCCGCUGCAGCAACUUGUGGUGAUGUUCCUUGACUCAGGCUGUACCAGGGCUGAGCACUCUUAUGCCAUCCGUAACAGUAAACGCUGGUUCAUUCAAUGGCCGCCAGCACCAACACACUGCCUUUACUUCCUCAGCCCAGAGAAGACACUGCUAACAAACAAACAAACAAACAAACCGCGGCAUCUAUCCAUUCUGAGAGGGUUCCAACACGCCCUCGGAAUCCUUCUCAACACUGAAUAUCUACUAUAAAUGGUUCUGCGUUGAAACCCCUUCAUCUCUGUGGAUCAGACAGUCCCAAACAACCCUUAGUCCUAGAGGUAGAGGCGAACGGUCCUGGCAACCCAACAGAAGUGCCACACAUUAGGCUUGGAGUCACUGUCCUCACUCUUUGAGCUCUAACCCUGGUUGGUGCUGUUGCCUCAACCAGUCUGGCAUCUCGCAAAUGUCUGCCCUGUCCCAGAGGCUUCAGAGAGGCAAGGGGCAACAGAGGGGAGCCACUGGGGUCUACCCAUUUGUAUUUAACCUCCCUAGCCUGCUCAGAGGAAGCUGACCCACUUCAUAGAGCAGAGUAUGAAAAUAGAACGCACCCCACGCGGUCUACAGCUGGUUACUCUCAGCUGUAGUGACAUCAGAACCACACACUUCUACAUGUCCACCUGCAGGCCAGAAGAGGGCAUCAGAUCCCUUUAUAAAUGGUCCUGAGCCAGGUGGCUGCUGGGAAUUGAACUCAGGACCUCUGGAAGCGCAGCCAGCACUCUUAAUCGCUGAGCCAUCUGUCCAGCCCCUGACCAUACAUAUUUCUAAGAGUCCUGUGGCCUCACUUCCUUCAUGCUGGCUCCUCGCCCACCCAGUAGGUCCUAUUUGAUGCCACCUCACAAUCGAGCAAAGAUCAGAGUCUAAGUGACCUGCUGGAGGACAACAGUGAGAAAGUCGAUAGAGCCUGGGAACGGAUUUCAUGACCACUGGCCAGAGUUCUCAUGGCCCCAUGGCAAGGGGGAGGGGGCAGGGAGGACUGGUCCCAAAUGCUUCCUGACCUCAGGGGAGGUACUUUCCAAGCCACUCAGAGCUCUGGUUGCUCUCCCCAGAGUAGAGAGCUGCAUCCUGAGAAGUGAGGUGCAUAUAGCACCCCACACUGGCUGCCAGAGCUGGCGCCGGAUGCAGGGAAAACUGCUCGUCCCUAGGGGUGGGCGUGGCACUGCUGAAGGCAUCUCUCUCCCACCUUGUCCUCACGGUCCAGUUUUCCCAGGAAUCCCUUGGAUGCUAAGAUGGGGAUUCCUGGAAAUACUGUUCUUGAGGUCAUGGCUUAACAGCUGGAUCUGCCUCCUUCCCACCCUGACAUUUCCUCCCAGGGAGAAGGGAGGAGGAGGAGGUGCAUCGGAGGGAGGUAAGCGGUCUUGGGACCUCUUCUGACCUUUGUGUUGCUUUUUUCCCACUGCGUCCAUAUUUCCUAACAUCCCGGGGAGGUUGGAUGUGGGAACCUCAGAACUGCUUCACUCUUGAGAAACUUGUCUCGAGUCACAGUGGUUGAACCAGACUCCGAGACAGCCUUCCCUCCACUCUGACCCUCCACAUUCCUUCCCACAGGCCCAUAUCCACAUUAUUAAGAAAGUAAUACACAAAUUUAUUUUCAAGGUUUAUUAAAUCAGUUAGGUAAACUAAGAAACAGUUCGUCUCCAUUGAAUUUGGAGGGCAGCCACAGGAAAAUGAGGUUUCAAGGUAGAAAAUAUGCUAUUUGGAGCGCCCCUGGUGGUGUUUCUUCCCACUGCAGGGACACUCGUGACCCCUGUACACAACCAGGGCUUAAUUAACCCUUAUUCAUCUCUCGCCAGAGAUGUGUCCAUGUCUUAGAGUUGGCUUUUCCUUAGGCAGACCACCUAGAAAGCAAAAGGUAGAACCAGGAUUGAUUUUGAGCCUGGAAUUGAAUGUCUGAGUCAAAAGAAAAAGUGGCUCCCCCCACCUCCCGCCCCAACUCUUGGGAGUUCUGUUUUUUUCUCAGUAAGUCUUUGCUCACUGUGCUAAAAAAUAAAUAAAUAGAUAAAAAUUAAAAAUAAAGCACACACCUUUAUUUGCAACACUUGGGAGGCAGAGGCAGGAGUGGAAGUCAAAACCCUUGAUGAAAUCCAGCUAUAAAAUAGGACUUGGGCUGGAAGGAUGAGAUGGGGCUUACCAGCAAAGGCACUUGACACCAAUCUAAGGGCUUGAGUAGAAGUCCCCAAAGCCACUGAGCUCCCGAAACUUGUCCUCUGACCUCCAAAUGGGUCGUAUGCCGUGUGCAGCAAACGCGCUCACACACACAAUAGAAAGAAAUAAAUGUGAAGGAAGUUCUAGAACUUCGGUGCUGGGGACACGGCUCAGUGUGUAAAGCGCUGAUUUCACAUGCCCAGCGCCUAUGUGAGGUCACACUUACAAUCCUAAGGCUGGUGGGGAGAAAGACAAGAGGACCCCUGGAGACCUGCAGCCAGCCAGGCUAGCCAGGGUUGGUUUACCAAGACUCUGCCUCAUAGAGUAGACAAUGACAGAAAACAGUGACUGUGUGCACACACACAUGCACUCAUGCACACACCCAUGUCCCUGAGAACCACCCUUAAACUGUCCCUAGUCCGGUGGAGGUAGCAAGUGUCAUAGCCCCACAACCCUCGUUUCCAGUGUGCCCUGGAGUCUCCAGAGACCAGGCAGUCCCCAGGGGCUACUAUGCUCCCAGCAAGCAUCCAGAAGACAUUUCUGAAGAGAGACCCCUCCCCCCUCCCGCUCACAUUCGGAGACCGUUGCUGACUUACUCGGGAUGGCAGACUUGCCGAUGACAGCAUCACCACCCUCCACUCUCGGGCUCUUGACACUCUGGGCAAUCCCAGUUCUCACUGCAGACCCAGUGAGGUAGCAGGCAAGCAGCCCAAGGCUGAGAGAGCUUAAGACACUUACCUUAGGCCACACUCAGUAAUUCCCCAAUCCAACAGUGCUUACGAUUUCCACCAUCCUCCCGAGUCCCACCCAACAAGGCUCCCGCCAACCCCACCCGCACAGUGGCUUUCCCAUGGGGGGAAGAAUAGUGAGCCUUCCUCUCUAUGUUUUGUGACAAUAAUAAAGCACUGGACCUUUGAUUUGUGUCAUCUUUCUUCCUGGGAGUAUAGGGGCAAGAAAGAACUUUCCAGUACUCACAGCCAUAACCUCCAAGAGCCUCUGCUUAACAGACAUUUCCACAGACCAGUACAG